GGUAGAGAGGCUUCUAGGAGCACUUCCAGAUUUCUACCUGAUGUACUUGGGUGGAUGGAGAGGGCGCACUGGUGGUGGAGAAGCAAGACUGAGAGGGGAAGUCCUGGGCUUUUAGCUCAUGGCCUAGCUGACCACAGUGAGUUAAUAUAACCCAGUCCCCUCGUAUUAGACAUGUACAUUGUUUCUAUAUUUUUGUUUAGAAAAAUAACCCUGUGGUAAGCUCAUAUGUGCAUAUUUCUGAUUAUUUCCUUAGGAUACAAUCCUUAAAACAAAACAGUUGGCAUAUUUUUAAGCUCUUUGAUCUGUAUUGCUAUGUUGCCCUCCAGAAAUGUUAUUUCAAUGUACACCUCCACCAGUAUGUGCUACUGAGGCCAAAAUUUGAGGCAAAUUGCCCCAAAAUUGGAUGUCAGAAUUGGUCCUAUGACUUUUUUAAAAAUCUCUAUUACUUCUAUCUUAAGACACUACUUUUUAAAAAAUUGUUCAUGUUUGAAGGGAUUUUUGAAGUGCUAGUCUAUACAUUGUUAAUGCCAAGAAGGAAUAUACUGGCUAAAAAGGACUCCUUGUGGUUAACUGGCCCAAAUUCAUAAUGAGAGUCUAGUAGACAUUGUUUACAAAGGCCUCUCACACACAAGGAAAAGCCACAGACUAGGAAAGGCCACAUAAGCUACCAAGCCUUCAGCAUUAGAUUCUUUCCACCUGAACCAAACCUUAUAAAGGAGUUCCUGGAAUUGUACUUUGACCAGUGGGCUGAGAGCUGCCCUGUCCAAUCGAAGCUGUGUAGCUUAUUCUCACUUGCAUUGUUUGCCAACCAAUCAGAGAGUCCACAUCAUCAAGUCAGGACAGUGCUAUUAGGACCAAACUGAGCAAAUUUUGAUUCCUCAUUUGCAUAAGAAUGGACCAAUCAGGGACUAGGGUGGGAACUUUAUAAAAAUCUGCCUCAUCUCUGUCUGGCGGGGAAGAGGAGAACAAUUUCACUUUCUGCCAGAGGCUGAGUCUCUCUAGUUUGCAAACUGGUUACCUGAAUAAAUUUUCUUCUUUUACCACACCCCAGGUUGAGAACUCCUGUUAGCAUUGGAUUGGUAGCAGUGACCGUUUUGUUGACAAUGUUGACCUUUUCGUGGUGGAAUUAAGGACGUUUCUUCAACACCGUGGUUGACGUCCAAGCUUUCAAACAAAACAUGGAGUCUGGAGACAACCUAGGUGAAUUAGGUUUCAAGUGUUGAUGGGAAACAAGAACAAACACAGAUGAAGAGCCUUUGUCUUGGAACAAUACUCCUGUCCCUGGAAGUGCUGCUCCUAAUGUUAUUAGCACAGCUGGAUCUCCCAGAAGUGUCCUGGGAGUGGGUAAGGAGCAAUACAUUUCUAAUAUUUGGUAAUUACCACGAAAACAAUUUGCUCCUUGUUUACACUUAAACUUCAGCACAGAGGAAUGCCUCUUUUCUGUCUCAGUACAAUGUGUGUGACACAUCCAGCCAGCUGCCUCACUGAACUCCUGGCCCCCUCUGGAGGGGGGGCUUGUUUAUGCCUCUGCUGAAGGGGCCACACAGCCGUGCAUCCUCCUCACUCUUCCAGGAAUGCUUCAGGCAGCCAUCCUGCGGAUA